rnacentral:rRNA from 1 species
CGUGGGUAACCUGCCUCAUACAGGGGGAUAGCAGCUGGAAACGGCUGAUAAAACCGCAUAAGCGCACAGCAUCGCAUGAUGCAGUGUGAAAAACUCCGGUGGUAUGAGAUGGACCCGCGUCUGAUUAGCUGGUUGGUGAGGUGACGGCCCACCAAGGCGACGAUCAGUAGCCGGCCUGAGAGGGUGACCGGCCACAUUGGGACUGAGACACGGCCCAA